GCUUUUAUAGCUCAGUUGGUAGAGCAACAGAUUCGUAACUUGUAGGUCGGCGGUUCGAUUCCGCCUAAAAGCUCCA
rnacentral:tRNA from 1 species